UACAGAGGUCCCAAGCGUUGUUCGGAUUCACUGGGCGUAAAGAGUGCGUAGGCGGUCGGGUAAGUCUGACGUGAAAUCUUCAAGCUCAACUUGGAAACUGCGUCGGAUACUAUUCGGCUAGAGGAAUGGAGGGGAGACUGGAAUACUUGGUGUAGCAGUGAAAUGCGUAGAUAUCAAGUGGAACACCAGUGGCGAAGGCGAGUCUCUGGACAUUUCCUGACGCUGAGGCACGAAAGCCAGGGGAGCAAACGGG
rnacentral:rRNA from 1 species